rnacentral:lncRNA from 1 species
CCCUUCCCGGCCCCACGCGGCGGUCGGUGAGCUCUAAGACCGAAACCCACCCUCAGCCCUGCCACCGUUGGAGUCGGGGCUUUGCUGUUUUUGCAAAGUGCUGGAAACACCGUCAUAAAAAGAAUGGCGUCCAUUUACAUAAUGCUUUGUUUGCAUUUUGCGGGUUUCUUUUCGGUUAAACCUACAGAAACUCCACCUCCUCCCCUUAAUGUUUUAACCUUCACAGUCUUGUCAGGCAGUUGAAAUAUUAGUCUCUGUGGAGACCUUAUUCACAGCAGCGCGGAACAAGGUUUUAGGGGUUACUGCGGGUUUUCCCGCGCGGUCUGCUCUCCCGCAGCUGCCUUUCGGGCCUACUCGCUCUUGGCGCAGCCGCCGCGCCCCACUUUUUCCAGGGGCGGACCCGCCAUCUUGGACAGCCUUUCCUGCCUUGUUUCUCCCGCUAGGAAAUGCCAGUCGAGACACUGCCGAGGAAGCUGGGGUUACUGCCCCUUCCCCUUCCUCCUUAGGCUAAGCCAGACGAGAGCAGGUCGUGCGAGCAAGGUGUUUUAAAAUCCCGCAGAACGACUAACGUGGCGCUCCUCCGCCUACCCUCCAUUCCUUCCCCGCGGGGGUGGCCGCCAUGUUUAUUGAACACAAAAUGGCGACACGUGGCCUGGAUACGUCGCUAACGAGAAGUUGGGGUCGACCCGAAAGCUUUCGAACGCGCCCCUUCCUUCCUACUGCCGCACCGCGUGUUUCAUGAUCUUUCCACGAUAAAACCUGGCAGCCUGGGUCGAAGCUCGCCCCAGUUUGAUGCUUCCCUGUACCCCUUAAUUUGUGACGGAAGUAUGAAUAAAGGAAGACACUUAAACCUAGAGAGAUGAGGUGACUAAUUCAAGGUCACACAGUGUUGGGACUGGAAUCCAGAACUUCUGAUUUCCUGCUGACUGCACUAUCUUGUGAAUUCUAUACCACUCAUUUUAUAGAUGAAGCCCCUGAGAUAUGAAACAGACUGAAUACUCACUGCCCCACCCCUGGAGCCUCACACAUGACUCUUCUCCCAUUCAAGUGACCACAGAUCAAACUCAGGACCUUGCUCUUGAGAGGCAGGUGGCGGCACCAUUGAGCAAAUCCCUGGCCCCAUGUGCUUCUUUUUCAAUCAUCUGUUUCCAUUAUCAGCACUGGGGAUCAAAGUCAGGACCUUGUGCUUUUGAGGCAGGCAUGGCACCACUGAGAUAAAUCCCUGGCAAAAAUCCCAUUUUUGAUCUUCGUUCUUUUUGUGUAUCUUCUGUGUACUUUCUAACACAAGCACUGCAUCUCAGGAUAAGUGAGUUUACCAACUUUACUCUCCCUUGUUUCCAAAAGUUCUAUUCUAGUAACUCUGGCCAUCUGCUAACUAACUAUGUGGUCUUGAACCUUGCUGAAGCUCAGUUUCUGGACCUGUCAUGUAGAGAUAAUGACAAAUAAUACCCAUCUUUCUUUUUGUGAGGAUUAAGUGAUGAAAAUAUCAAUUCCUAGAAUAGGAGAGUGGAAAGAGGAAGAGGGUACAG